UACGUAGGGGGCUAGCGUUGUCCGGAAUCAUUGGGCGUAAAGAGCGCGUAGGCGGCUAGAUAAGUCCGGUGUGAAAGUCACAGGCUCAACCUGUGAAUGCCGCUGGAAACUGUCUGGCUAGAGUCCGGAAGGGGCGAGUGGAAUUCCUGGUGUAGCGGUGAAAUGCGCAGAUAUCAGGAGGAACACCAAUGGCGAAGGCAGCUCGCUGGGACGGUACUGACGCUGAGGCGCGAAAGCGUGGGGAUCAAACAGG
rnacentral:rRNA from 1 species